AGAUGGCUCAGUGGUUAAGAGCACUGGCUGCUCUUCCAGAGGACCUGGGUUCUCUUCCCAGCAUCUA
rnacentral:tRNA from 1 species